UAAGGAAUAUUGGGCAAUGGACGCAAGUCUGACCCAGCCAUGCCGCGUGAAGGAUGACGGCCCUAUGGGUUGUAAACUUCUUUUGUACGGGAAUAAACCUGGGUACGUGUACCCAGCUGAAUGUACCGUAAGAAUAAGGAUCGGCUAACUCCGUGCCAGCAGCCGCGGUAAUACGGAGGAUCCAAGCGUUAUCCGGAUUCAUUGGGUUUAAAGGGUGCGUAGGCGGAUUUAUAAGUCAGUGGUGAAAGCCUGUUGCUUAACAACAGAACUGCCAUUGAUACUGUAAGUCUUGAGUACAUUUGAUGUGGGCGGAAUGUGUCAUGUAGCGGUGAAAUGCUUAGAUAUGACACAGAACACCGAUUGCGAAGGCAGCUCACAAAACUGUAACUGACGCUGAGGC
rnacentral:rRNA from 1 species